UCCAGGGAUCUGAAACCAAAGGCAAAAUUGCCAGAGGGUGAAAGCCAUGAUCUGUUUGGGCCUUCAGGUUUCAGAGCGGAUCCUGUGCUGAUAAUCUCUUGAGCUCUAGUACAUGAGUGGGGAAGUUGCAACAGUAGUAGGAGGAGGAAUAAAUGUGCCAUUGGUCUUAGCUGGUUGCUCUGUCGAACAAUAGAUUUAUGCGCAGAGGAGGAUAUAAUUUUCAUAUCACGUGCUAUAGGUGUUACAUCCUUAGGACCAAGACUUCCGUGGGAUGACAGGUAAAUUGAUGAUUAGAGCUGAAUGCAUGGCAUGUUUGACAAUGGAGCUGACACCACUAUAUUAUUAACCAGCCAUUUUCGUGGAACGGGAGGUAAGUUCAUUGAAUGCUAGGCCAUGAGAUUGUAGCACACAGUGAAUGUGAACCACAGAGGCUUUUUCUGCGUGAGAUGAAGUCGUCUGGUUUCGUUGAAUCAAGUUGGUGCAUCCGACAACUUAGGCUGGUCGGUUGUGACCUGGUGUUGAAGUCUUUGAGAGAUUUAAAUGCAGCUUGCAAAUUGUCAAGCUGAGAAAGAUGAGCCAAACUCAUGAGCCACCGUGACUGGAGCUAGGACCAGAUCUAUGGAAAUGAUGGCAAGAUCAGUGUCAGUGUUGAAAACUGCGUCGUGUUGAUCUCUAUAUCACUGGCAAAACCGUGACAGGGCAGAAUUUGUCAACUUGGUGCUGUUUUGUAGUUUUUACUUUUCUGAAUUCUAGAUGAUAGGCUAUAUGCUGGACAGUAAAUUGACUAUUGAGCGAUUUGGUUUCACAGGAUUGUAAGAAGUCCGAUGAGCGAGGCUAAUGUAUGAUGUUGCUAUAUAGAAGGGAGAUUUCUGCGUUCCCCCUUGUCCGGACUGAUCAUCCACGGUGCCCACGCCGGCAUCGCCUGUUGCUGGGCGUGCGUUGUUUGAAAAUUGAAACUUGUUUUGUGAAUUUGUGCGAGUGGACUGCUUGAGCUGGUAACACACUCGGGAUUGAGAGUGACGGUACGACCAAGUCAGAGCAACCUGGUUGGAAAAGUUGACUGUUCUCGUGGACAUGAUGUGUGCAAUUUUUAAUUUCCAACCAGGGAACGAAUUAUGUUAAAAUAAUGAAAGUGAUUUGAGCACUGGAAUUGCAUAAAAGACAACUAUUCUUAUCUCCAAAGUUGAUUUCCUCUAGUUCUACUGCCUUUUUCUGCAGAGGCUGGUCGGUUGUGAACUGGUGUUGAAGUCUUUGAGAGAUUUAAAUGCAGCUUGCAAAUUGUCAAGCUGAGAAAGAUAAGCCAAACUCAUGAGCCACCGUGACUGGAGCUAGGACCAGAUCUAUGGAAAUGAUGGCAAGAUCAGUGUCAGUGUUGAAAACUGCGUCGUGUUGAUCUCUAUAUCACUGGCAAAACCGUGACAGGGCAGAAUUUGUCAACUUGGUGCUGUUUUGUAGUAAUUACUUUUCUGAAUUCUAGAUGAUAGGCUAUAUGCUGGACAGUAAAUUGACUAUUGAGCGAUUUGGUUUCACAGGAUUGUAAGAAGUCCGAUGAGCGAGGCUAAUGUAUGAUGUUGCUAUAUAGAAGGGAGAUUUCUGCGUUC